CCCCAUACCAUAGUUACCAUACACCCCCUCAUGAUCAUUCAUCAUUCUCAUUCAUCAUUCUCAUCCUCCUCUCUCUCUCUCUCUCUCUCUCUCUCUCUCUCUCUAACCCCCCUUGAAGAUAGGCGAGACUCUUGGGGGACAGAGAGAUAAAAGAGAUCAGAGAAAGCCACAUAGUCCACAUAUAUAUAGAGACACACAUGAUCGUCAAAAUAAUGGAUUUUGAAGAAGAGGAUAGAUAGAUAUGUGAAGCUUUAGCUUUUGAGGGGAAUGUUGUCUGGCUCGAGGACACUUUUCCUUGAUCUGUAUUUCUUAUAGAUCAACCUGUAUAUUUAUAUCUAGGUAUACAUAUAUAUGGCUUUUGGUGAAUUAGUGUCGUCGGACCAGGCUUCAUUCCCCCCAAUUUAUGGCUUCCAUUGACCUGUUGUUUUUCCACGGCAGAGGGCUUAAUUCUUCACACGGUCUUAGAGGAUCAUAAAAUUAUGAUGAUGUUGUUUUUGUCAGUCUAAGGCUCUAAGCGCUUUUUCCGCUUCAUCAUUAUCCAGAUUUACCUCAUGAUGCCUUCCAGUAUCUGAUCUGUCCGUUUCUGCCAUUUUUCAGAUCUGGCUUUUUUGGCUUUCUUUUUAAACUUUGGUAAACAUUCUCUCUUCUUUCUCACGUUCUAACUCUCUCUCUCUCUCCUCUCUCUUAGGGUUUCGUGGGUCUAGAUUUAGGCUAUUAUCUAAAUGGAUCUUUUUUUAAAUAGCAUAAGCCUUUGCUUAGGAGAACAAGCAAGGAACUGACACCCUUUCUGACAUUGUUUGAAAUGCCUAUUUUCAUUUGUCAACAGUUUUCUAUUGCUCUCAGUCAGUAAUCCUUUUCUCAGAGUGUUGAUUAAUAAUAAUGUUUAAAGAUACAUAUAUAUAUGAUUGCUGUAUUUCAUUAUUUUGCAGAUCAGUUAAUUAUAUUCUUGUUGCUUUUAUUUAUAUGCUAUGCUUCAGAGCUACCUUUCUUUUGGUCUUGAUGAUAAUGUCCUAGCUGGACAUCUCUUUACAACUUGAACUUUGCUUCUUUCAAAAUGUGAUGAGCAUAUGACAUGUACAUUGCAGCACAAAGGACAACUAUAACUUUGGGAAAGUGUGCGUGUCUGGUUGUCCAAAAGGAAGCCUGGUCACUUGCCUUUCCUUUAGUAUCUUCUCAGUGGAUAUACCUAUUGAAACCCUAAUCUUGUUCAUCUUGGAUUUGCUGUGAAAAGCUUUGUGAUUCUCAAAGCUUUUAGUCACUCACAUUGUCUUUUCCCCUCCUGACUUUUUGUCCCUUCAUUAUGGUUUUAUUUGACUGACUGUGCUAGCUAGCUCAGAGUCAAGGGCCUUAGAACACAGGCAUUGCUGAAAACUAAAGGUAUUGAAAAUGCAUAUGCUAGACAAGAACAAGGAGCACUGUGGAGGUAAUCUAGAUGCCCCAAACAAGUUACAAACUACUAAUUUGAUCAAGUUCUUCUUAGAACUUUCUUAAGCUUAAAAGUUUAAGAAUUCCCUUUGUACAAUCCCAGAGUUCAAUUUCUUCUUGUAAUCUAGUGUUUUGUUGUCUCCCUUUUUUUUUUUUUUUGGUUACAUUGGAGUUCGAACUGGGUGCCAUCAUGCCACCACCUCUAUAGUGGGAACCCAUUGGCGUUAUCUCCCUUCUUUACAAACUAUACAUGUAUUCUUCAAGGCUACUGAUUAAUCCCAGAGUUCAAUUUCUUCUUAAUUAUUCUAGUGUUUUUUGUUAUCUACAUUCUUUAAUUUCCUUCUUAGUUUUGAUAACAAGGUUUUGGAACAAGUGUUUUCUUGGCCACUAAGAACUUAUAGUAAUUAACAUUCCUUAUUCUAAUUAAUGUAAACUCUCUUUCUAUCUCUCUCAAGCCCACACACACACACACACACACAUUUAGAUUAACACAUUCAUCUUCAGAUAUUGCUUGAUAUUACAUACAAGUGGUCUUCUUGUCUCUUUGUGGAUUUUUCACUAUUAUUUUCCAUGUCACACAAACCUGUUUGCAAGAAAAGUCAAUGUAUGAAAAGCAGCUGGUUUGGAAUCAAGGAAGAAAUCUCAUUUGCUAGCAAUCAAACUCUUCCCCCUUGUGCUUUGAUUUUUUCACUAAUGUGGUAAUUAAAUCUAAUUUCCCUGUUUAAAUUGGAAGAUGUGGGCACUCGUGGUUUUUGU